UACGUAGGGGGCAAGCGUUGUCCGGAUUUAUUGGGCGUAAAGAGCGUGUAGGCGGUUAGGUAGGUCCGUUGUGAAAACUCGAGGCUCAACCUCGAGACGCCGAUGGAAACCAUCUAACUAGAGUCCGGAAGGGGAGACGUGGAAUUCCGUGUGGUAGCGGUGGAAAUGCGCAGAUAUCAGGAGGAACACCGGUGGCGAAGGCGGGUCUCUGGGCCGAUACUGACGCUGAGGCACGAAAGCGUGGGGAGCGAACAGG
rnacentral:rRNA from 1 species